rnacentral:misc_RNA from 1 species
CCCGUCACACCACGCAGAGUUUGUAACACCCGAAGUCGGUGGGGUAACCUUUAUGGAGCCAGCCGCCGAAGGUGGGAUAGAUGAUUGGGGUGAAGUCGUAACAAGGUAGCCGUAUCGGAAGGUGCGGCUGGGAUCACCUCCUUUCUAAGGAUAUAUUCGGAAUCAUUCCUUAUGGAAUGAAACAUUAACGUUUGCUGUUCAGUUUUGAAGGUUCAUCUUAAUGAUGAAACACUUCAAAACUUGUUCUUUGAAAACUGGAUAAAACGACAUUGAAAGCAAUAAACAAACAAAUGAUCAAGAAAUUGGUCGUGCAAUCUUUUAAAAUCUUACUCAUUUGAGUAAGUGUAACUUAUUGGUUAAGUUAAUAAGGGCGCACGGUGGAUGCCUUGGCACUAGGAGUCGAAGAAAGAC